GAGCAGAAUGUGGAGUGGAGACCAUAGGAAAUGUAGACUGCAGCCCGCCAGAUUCUUCUGUCCAUGAGGAUUCUCCAGGCAAGAAAACUGGAGUGGGUUGCCAUGCCAUUCUCCAGGGGAUCUUCUCAUCCCAGGAAUCAAACCCAGGUCUCCUGCAUUGCAGGCAGAUUCUUUACUGACAGCCACCAGGGAAGGGAGGUUUCAUCAUCAUUACUGAAUGAUACUCCAUUAUGUGAAUGUAUCAGACUUCCUGAAUUCCAUAUCUUCUUUUGAACUCCCACAAUCUUUAAUUAAUAAUUUUCCUGCUCAACUCACCACUUAAUAUCUUGCAUUUUAGUUAUUAAAGCAUACUUAUUAAAAAA
ensembl:lncRNA